AGCCUUGCUCACGGACCGCGUCCUGAUGCUGGUGAUAAUGGUGGUGACAGUGAGUGACUGCCUGCCUGAAGGUUCCUGUAGUGGGUGGGAAGUGCUUAGCUCUGGAGUCAGAAAUCCUGGAUCUGCUGCUUAUUAGCUGCCUGACCCGGGAAAAUUACUAAAUUAAGCUCUCUGAGUCUCUCUUUUCUCACUCAUUUGAGGAGAAAGCACAGUGCUGGGUAUUUCGCAGACCUUCCUGACAUUUUAGUUUCUGCCCUUUCCUGCAGGAGGCUCUGAGGCCAGCAGGGCUGAAAGCCUGCUCUGCAUUCACUAAGUGUGUGACCUCGGUUUUUAACCUUACAGAUUAGAAGCAUGAGAUACAUUCACCUUGUUCGGCCACCAUCACCACUACCCUUCUCCAGAGCUCUUUUCUUCCUACAAAACAGAAACUCUGUAUCCACAGUUGAGGUUGGAGGGAGAACCAGCUAAUCAAGCCUGCAUUACAAGAAGAAGCUCCAACUGCUUGGCACUAGCACUCGAGGAGAGGCUUCAGGCAUCAAACACCUACCGUCCUCUGAUUCCUUCACAAUUGUGGCCUCGUUGUUUAUGGGGAGUCUAAUAAAAAGCAAGGGAUUGCUGAUUAGCUGAAGUUUCCCUUGGACGGGAUCAAAGUAAAUCUUUCAGAUUUAUACAACC